GGCUUAGCUCAGUGGUAGAGCAGCGCUUUUGUAAAGCGAAGGUCAUCGGUUCAAAUCCGUUAGC
rnacentral:tRNA from 3 species